GCUAAACAGUUAGCUUAAUUACCAAAAAAUACCAAAACAACAUUACCAUGCUUUACAAAGACAAUAACGCACCAAACUAAAACAUUUUACCGCCCUAGUAUGGGAGACAGAAAAGGCACCACAAAGCUAUAAUAAAAGUACCGCAAGGGAACACUGAAAAAGAAAUGAAACAAAUCAUUAAAGCAUAAUAAAGCAGAGACUAACCCUCGUACCUUUUGCAUCAUGAUUUAGCCAGCAUCACCGAGCAAAGAGCACUUUAGUUCAAAACCCCGAAACUAAGUGAGCUACCCCGAGACAGCCUAUCAAUUAGGGCCAACCCAUCUCUGUGGCAAAAGAGUGGGAAGAUCUCCGGGUAGAAGUGACAGACUUACCGAACUUAGUUAUAGCUGGUUGCCUAUGAAAUGAAUAGAAGUUCAGCUUCGCACUCCUUAACUCACAAACACAAAACACGAGCCAGAGAAACAUGCGAAAGUUAGUCAAAGAAGGUACAGCUUCUUUGAAACAGGAUACAACCUGGUCAGGAGGUUAAAGAUUAUAUUACACAAGAUAUACCGCUCUAGUGGGCCUAAAAGCAGCCACCCAGACAGAAAGCGUUAAAGCUCAGACGGAAUAAAAAUCCAUUAUCCAAAUACUUAAUCUAAAACCCCUAACUUUAUUAGGCCGCCCUAUGCCCACAUAGAAAAGAUACUGCUAAAAUGAGUAAUAAGAAAGAACACCUUUCUCCUUAGCCCACGUGUAUGCUAGAUCGGACUAACCACUAGCAAUUACCGAACCCAAUCAACAGAGGGUAAUGUGCCUUAUACCAAACACCAAGAAAUUCGCACACAACUCGAAUCGUUAAACCCACACCGGAGGACUUAAUUAGGAAAGACUAAAAGAAAAGGAAGGAACUCGGCAAACAUAAGCCUCGCCUGUUUACCAAAAACAUCGCCUCCUGCAAAAAUCAACGUAUAGGAGGUCUUACCUGCCCAGUGACAAGUUUAACGGCCGCGGUAUUUUGACCGUGCGAAGGUAGCGCAAUCACUUGUCUUUUAAAUGAAGACCUGUAUGAAUGGUGGAACGAGGGCUUAACUGUCUCCCUUCUCAAGUCAAUGAAAUUGAUCUGCCCGUGCAGAAGCGGACAUAUAAUUACAAGACGAGAAGACCCUUUGGAGCUUUAGAUAAAAGAUCACCUAUGUCAAGGACCAAAACAAGUCAAACCAAGUAGAAAUUGAUCCUAAUCUUUUGUUGGGGCGACCACGGGAAAAAAUAAAGCUCCCACGAGGAUUGGGCCAUACCCCUAAAACCAAGAAAAACAUUUCCAAGUCACAGAAUGUCUGACCACAAAGAUCCGGCUAUCCGCCGACCAACGGACCAAGUUACCCUAGGGAUAACAGCGCAAUCCCCUUCCAGAGUCCAUAUCGACAAGGGGGUUUACGACCUCGAUGUUGGAUCAGGACAUCCUAAUGGUGCAGCCGCUAUUAAGGGUUCGUUUGUUCAACGAUUAAAGUCCUACGUGAUCUGAGUUCAGACCGGAGUAAUCCAGGUCAGUUUCUAUCUGUAAUUGCUACUUUCCCCAGUACGAAAGGACCGGAAAAGAAGGGCCCAUAUUUCCAACACGCCCCACCCCAACUUAAAGACACCAACUAAAUUAAACAAAGGGAGAGCAUAA
rnacentral:rRNA from 1 species